rnacentral:rRNA from 2 species
CGAACUCUGGUAUUGAUUGGUGCUUGCAUCAUGAUUUACAUUUGAGUGAGUGGCGAACUGGUGAGUAACACGUGGGAAACCUGCCCAGAAGCGGGGGAUAACACCUGGAAACAGAUGCUAAUACCGCAUAACAACUUGGACCGCAUGGUCCGAGUUUGAAAGAUGGCUUCGGCUAUCACUUUUGGAUGGUCCCGCGGCGUAUUAGCUAGAUGGUGGGGUAACGGCUCACCAUGGCAAUGAUACGUAGCCGACCUGAGAGGGUAAUCGGCCACAUUGGGACUGAGACACGGCCCAAACUCCUACGGGAGGCAGCAGUAGGGAAUCUUCCACAAUGGACGAAAGUCUGAUGGAGCAACGCCGCGUGAGUGAAGAAGGGUUUCGGCUCGUAAAACUCUGUUGUUAAAGAAGAACAUAUCUGAGAGUAACUGUUCAGGUAUUGACGGUAUUUAACCAGAAAGCCACGGCUAACUACGUGCCAGCAGCCGCGGUAAUACGUAGGUGGCAAGCGUUGUCCGGAUUUAUUGGGCGUAAAGCGAGCGCAGGCGGUUUUUUAAGUCUGAUGUGAAAGCCUUCGGCUCAACCGAAGAAGUGCAUCGGAAACUGGGAAACUUGAGUGCAGAAGAGGACAGUGGAACUCCAUGUGUAGCGGUGAAAUGCGUAGAUAUAUGGAAGAACACCAGUGGCGAAGGCGGCUGUCUGGUCUGUAACUGACGCUGAGGCUCGAAAGUAUGGGUAGCAAACAGGAUUAGAUACCCUGGUAGUCCAUACCGUAAACGAUGAAUGCUAAGUGUUGGAGGGUUUCCGCCCUUCAGUGCUGCAGCUAACGCAUUAAGCAUUCCGCCUGGGGAGUACGGCCGCAAGGCUGAAACUCAAAGGAAUUGACGGGGGCCCGCACAAGCGGUGGAGCAUGUGGUUUAAUUCGAAGCUACGCGAAGAACCUUACCAGGUCUUGACAUACUAUGCAAAUCUAAGAGAUUAGACGUUCCCUUCGGGGACAUGGAUACAGGUGGUGCAUGGUUGUCGUCAGCUCGUGUCGUGAGAUGUUGGGUUAAGUCCCGCAACGAGCGCAACCCUUAUUAUCAGUUGCCAGCAUUAAGUUGGGCACUCUGGUGAGACUGCCGGUGACAAACCGGAGGAAGGUGGGGAUGACGUCAAAUCAUCAUGCCCCUUAUGACCUGGGCUACACACGUGCUACAAUGGAUGGUACAACGAGUUGCGAACUCGCGAGAGUAAGCUAAUCUCUUAAAGCCAUUCUCAGUUCGGAUUGUAGGCUGCAACUCGCCUACAUGAAGUCGGAAUCGCUAGUAAUCGCGGAUCAGCAUGCCGCGGUGAAUACGUUCCCGGGCCUUGUACACACCGCCCGUCACACCAUGAGAGUUUGUAACACCCAAAGUCGGUGGGGU